UCCGGUUUGUCACCGGCAGUCUCGCAUGAGUCCCCAACUAAAUGCUGGCAACAUGCGACGGGGGUUGCGCUCGUUGCGGGACUUAACCCAACAUCUCACGACACGAGCUGACGACAGCCAUGCAGCACCUCUGCUGGCAUCCGACUUAACGGGUCGCACUCCGUUUCCGGAAUGCUACUACCAGCACUUCAAGCCCAGGUAAGGUUCUUCGCGUUGCGUCGAAUUAAACCACAUGAUCCACCGCUUGUGCGGGCCCCCGUCAAUUCCUUUGAGUUUCAGCCUUGCGGCCGUACUCCCCAGGCGGGGCACUUCAUGCGUUAGCGCCGGUACUCCAAGGGUCGCUCCCCGGAGCACCUAGUGCCCAUCGUUUACGGCGUGGACUAC
rnacentral:misc_RNA from 1 species